AGUGAACGCUGGCGGCAUGCCUAACACAUGCAAGUCGAACGGCAGCACGCCAAGCGUUCCUCUCUACUGGUGGCCGGGGGCGUACGGGUGCGGAAUGUACCCGCAUCUUGUAAUUAUUGGAGCACAACGUGGGGUAAUACCUCAUGAUAUCUCAUAUGAUAAACGGGUGACCACACAGCAUCUUUUGGCCUUGCGCCUUUGUAUUAGCCGAUGUCGGAUUAGCUAGUUGGUGGGGUAAAGGCCUACCAAGGCGACGAUCCGUAGCUGGUCUGAGAGGAUGAUCAGCCACACUGGGACUGAGACACGGUCCAGACUCCUACGGGAGGCAGCAGUGGGGAAUAUUGGACAAUGGGCGCAAGCCUGAUCCAGCAAUGCCGCGUGAGUGAAGAAGGCCUUCGGGUUGUAAACCCCUUUUGUUCGGAAAGAAAAGCCGCUGGCUAAUACCUGGGGGUGAUGACGGUACCGAAAGAAUAAGCACCGGCUAACUACGUG
rnacentral:rRNA from 1 species